rnacentral:misc_RNA from 1 species
AUUACGUCCGGUUUUAGAUAAGAUGGCGUGUUUACCUUGAUUUUAUUUCUUGUUUUAAUAUUUUAACCCUUUUUACAUCACCUAUUUCAGGUGAGCUGGAGUAGAAUGUCUGCUGAUGAAAAUCAAACACUCCAGGAUGAAGAAAUUGAGGCACUUGCUGCUAUAUACGGUGAUGAUUGGGAAGUUGUUGACAGUGAAUCAAGAAAAUACCACAUAAGAAUUUCAGAUGAAAAAUUGAAAAAUGCUAUUUUGACGGAGUGCACCCUGGUUACUAAGAGAUGAGAAAACAAACUUGGAAGGUUCAUUAGCAGAUAUUUAUUGUGAAAAUAUUGGAGAGAGUAUCAUAUAUUUAUGGGUUGAGAAAAUAAGAGAGUUUCUGCAAGAAAGAAACGAACUACAUGUUAAAGCAGACACUACAGCAGGUAACUCAGAAGCUGUUAUUCAAGAGCAUAUGCUAGAUAGAAAAACAGAAGAGGAAGAUGAAAUUUUAGACAUCGAUUUCCUAAACGUACAGGAAAAACCUGACAAGUGCCAUUUUGAAGAGCAGGAAAACAGCAGUGAUGAUGUAAACUGUCCUGAGAUUCAUCAUGGAAAAAGUUUUGUUGACAGAAAAAGUGUGUUUCAAGGUCACAUAGCCUCCAUAUCUCACACUAAACAAGUAAAAUUAGUUCUGGACUCUUUGUGUCAAAGUAAGAAGAUUGCCGCAGCUACACACAAUAUAUACGCAUACAGAAUAUCUUCCAAAGACAAACAAGAUGUUUUCUACCAAGGAUGUGAGGAUGACGGGGAAACACAGGCCGGCUCUCGGAUGUUACACCUGAUGCAGAUUGUAGAUGCAUGCAACGUAAUUGUGGUGGUCACUCGUUGGUAUGGAGGAGUUCAUCUGGGUCCUGAUCGCUUUAAGCAUAUAAAUAACUGUGCCAGGCAGCUGUUGGAUGAACAUGGGUAUAUCCAGUCAAAGAAUGAGAAAAAAGGCCCUAAAAGCAAUAAGAGGAGAAGUUAGUUUUGUGAAUUAUUUGUUCUCUUUGUCGUAUGAAAACUGGGGGUAAAAUAUUGAUAUGUCUUUCAUUUAAAAGAAAUCUUUGAUUUUAUUAUGAUGAGAAUUUUUAUCACUUAUAUUUAUUUGUUAAAUUGAUCUACAUACUCUUUAUGCUAUGCAUUUUUACAUUAUAUUGAAUUUAACAAUGAAGCAAAAUCUAAGAUUGUGUUCGGUAAAAUUGAUACAUUUAUUAUGGAACUUAUCUGAGGACCCAUGAUAAAUGAUUUACUUGUUGAACAUGCAUUAUUAAUGAUAUAAUGAAUGAAUAUCAAAUCUGGAUUUUCCAAGAAUCUAUCUUAUUUUUAUCAAGAAUAUGGUGAAUGAAUUACUGGCAGGUUUCGAGUAUGUAUUCAAGACCGAUCUGUUAAAAAUAAAUUCAUCAAGGAUCUGUAUUGAAAUUAAUAGGGUAUUUAUCAAAAGAUAGAAGAUGAAUAUGUUAUCUUAAUUUAUCACAGUAUAUUACGAAUGAAUUGUUGAAUUUG